UGGUGGAGUGAUUUGUCUGCUUAAUUGCGUUAACGAACGAGACCUUAACCUGCUUACUAGACGCCCGCUGUUUCUAAAGCGGAUGCUCUUCUUAGAGGGACUAUGCGUUCCAAGCGCAUGGAAGUUUGAGGCAAUAACA
rnacentral:rRNA from 1 species